AUCUCGGUACCUUAGUUGCCAAAGCACUUGUCUAGCGAAUAAGGGUCGUGAGUUCGAAUCUCACCUGAGCUG
rnacentral:tRNA from 1 species